GGGUUGUGAGGUUAAGCGACUAAGCGUACACGGUGGAUGCCCUGGCAGUCAGAGGCGAUGAAGGACGUGCUAAUCUGCGAUAAGCGCCGGUAAGGUGAUAUGAACCGUUAUAACCGGCGAUUUCCGAAUGGGGAAACCCAGUGUGAUUCGUCACACUAUCAUUAACUGAAUCCAUAGGUUAAUGAGGCGAACCGGGGGAACUGAAACAUCUAAGUACCCCGAGGAAAAGAAAUCAACCGAGAUUCCCCCAGUAGCGGCGAGCGAACGGGGAGGAGCCCAGAGCCUGAAUCAGCAUGUGUGUUAGUGGAAGCGUCUGGAAAGGUGCGCGAUACAGGGUGACAGCCCCGUACACAAAAGCGCAUGUGCUGUGAGCUCGAUGAGUAGGGCGGGACACGUGGUAUCCUGUCUGAAUAUGGGGGGACCAUCCUCCAAGGCUAAAUACUCCUGACUGACCGAUAGUGAACCAGUACCGUGAGGGAAAGGCGAAAAGAACCCCGGCGAGGGGAGUGAAAAAGAACCUGAAACCGUGUACGUACAAGCAGUGGGAGCACAGGUUUACCUGUGUGACUGCGUACCUUUUGUAUAAUGGGUCAGCGACUUAUAUUCUGUAGCAAGGUUAACCGUAUAGGGGAGCCGUAGGGAAACCGAGUCUUAAC
rnacentral:rRNA from 5 species